rnacentral:misc_RNA from 1 species
CACUCUCCAUGUGAGUCUGCC